GCAUUUUCGAUUCAAACAACAACAGAGAUGAUAUGCACACCUUUGUCCAUUAUCUGAAUCCCUGAGCUAUACAUGAACCAUUUGAGGGGAGCCUACUCCAUACUGCGGUGCUCAACAGUGAUGCUGUACAGAGGAGAAAAAACUAGGUAGUCUUCCCACAAUUUAAAUAUGAGUGGAAGGUGGGAUUGGUUUCCGUGUGUUCCUCCUGUCCCAGCUGCUCAUGGGACUGGACACUGCUUCUAGCUAGCAGUUAAUCUGCUUAAGGAUGAAACUGUCCGUAUACACUGGAUGGCUUCGGGCCGUCUUCCUGGGCUCACUUGGGAAAACGUGUGUCUAGGAGGCAGCAGAGGGAAGAGAUGGAUCUAAAAGGCUGGAGAUGUUUCCUGGGAGGGUGGCCCAGAUGAUGACAUGGGUUUGGACUCCUUCCAGGAACAAAUGAAGCAAAAGAAAGCCUGCAUAGAGGAAGGAGGGGGGAAUCGGAGAAAGAUUUUGAAAGGAAAACCUGGAACUUUCCAAGCUUUGUUACUUGUUUCUUUUCAAGGCAUGUCUGUCUUUUCACUCUUUGAAUUCUUGAAGCAUUUCUCUAUCCUUCAAAUAACCACUUGUUGACAACAGAAAAAGAAAGUGGAAGAAACCAAAGCACAGCUACGACCAUUAUCUGCUCGCCCUUCAAGCUCUUACUACUUUUAUGAAAACUCUGAUCGCAUCAGCCCAUGAGAUACCGUCCCCGAGUUCCUGUAAAUGCUUACUACAUUUCCACUCACCUCACUCGUUUCACUGUUCUCCCAGCAUGAGUUAUCUUCAUACAGUUCUGAGUGAAACCAUGCUUUUCAAACUCAUCCGUCUUUCCCAUCACACCGAGCCUUUGCAGAUAAGACCUUCAGUAAACAGUUAUGAGUGAGACUAGGCUGAUUCAGGCUCAGCAGUUCAAGUUCACUAGUGAUUGAAUUUAAUAAAAUAGAACACAGCUGGGUAGAGAAAAGUAAAGCAAGAUACUAAAAUUAGCAAUAGGAGGAAUUCUUGAUUAUCUGCUGGUAUAGAAACAGUUUGAAGUGACAACCUCGCCUGAGAGUGAGUAAGCCAGGAUUAGCUAUCUCAAGAAGUUACAAUGUGUGACAUACUUAAGGAAUUAAUUGAUUUCUGAGUACAGGAUGUAUGCUAUGUAAUUUGGCUAUACCGAACCUACUCUAAGCUUCAUGUGUUAACAAUGAUCUAAGCACUUCCAUAUUUACAUCACCCGGAGGAAGAAAUAACUUCUUGUAGGAGUUCUCUUCGGGGAAAAUCUGCUGUGGCAAGCAUUGCUGUAGGAGCGACCUGGGGAUUGUCUUUGAGGUCUAGCUUAGUAUGAAGCAAGGGCAUGCUUUGACAUCUUAGGCCAAUUUAAUAGUAGAUCACAUUUGUCAAAGAACCACAUAGAUUUGCAGUUGAAGUUUGGCUAGAAGGCCAAUCUAUUGCAUGGUGUUAGACUUCAGCCAUCAGUAAUCAUCCUUUGACUCCCUGACCCCAUUAGUGACUCCCAAAGCAGACCAUUUGUAAUGAACUGGCUUACAAUGUAGCAACUUCUUCUCUAGUGUGAACAAUGCUGCCCUAUAAACCAAACAGUUGGCAAGGGGUAAUAGGAGGAGACACCUAAGAGGGGAGCACACUCAGGUCACAGGAUCAUCUAGGGUCUGCUGUCAAAUGAACCCGUGCCUACCUUUCAUACAGGGGAAAACCAAGUGAGCAAGCAUAGAGGAAUUGCUUGUUUUUCUCUUUAAAACUUAUUACUGUGAUGUUUCCUUUGGAGGCCUGAAAAAGGUGUCAGAUCCCCUGGAGCUUGUCAUACAAAUGGCUGUGAGUUCUGGAAAUGAAAUUCAGGUCCACUGGAAGAGCAGCACAUAUUCUUCAUUAUUAAGCCAUCUCUUCAGCUGCUGUUUCUAUUUUUCAGCGAAUAAAAACUAUAACUUUUGAAGAGUGUAUGCUUUUACAGAGCAUCCAUCUAAGCCGAAUAAUGAGAGUACAAGAUUUUAGAUUCCUGGUACACUAAAUAUGACCCUUAUUCUGUGUGGUAAAUUUAUCCUUUGAUUUGUACUUAUUAUUUUAAAAGCAUAUAUAAGCAUCGCAUAGUCCUGAGAAAUAAGUUGGUAUUGUUUGCCUAUUUGUCUGGGAAUAAUAUGAAUGAAGAAAACAUGUCUGUAUUUAUUUUAAGUGCUGAGAAUUUUGAAUUGUUGAAUCGGUUUUCCCAAGAAUCUUGAAAAUGAACAGUCAUGAUUUGACUGUAACAUAUCCACAGGGCAGUUCAAGGUCCUCACUAUAUUCUGAGGCUUUUUGCAACUUAGUCAUGCUGGGAAUUAAAGUUGCCGUGGGUUUCUUUCUUGAUAUUUCCACUUGAUCAGCUAUCAGAUAUGAAGACUCCAUGUCCUGUUUCCUUCUAGCCUGCAGCAGCCAGGGCUCCUGCGUCUCCUCAUGAGUAUGCUUCCUCCGUGUCAGGAAUCUGAAGAUGUUACUGGAAUAUCAGUUACCCAUAGGGAAUCUAUGCAUAUAAUUUCAGGAAUUUCCCACAGAACCACUUCUUACCUCUCUAAAUUGAUCAAAAGAACCAUUAGAAUUAGUCUUUUUCUUUCUUUGCAGGGAGCUCAAGACUUCGCACAUGUGAGGAAAGUGCUCUAUCAGAGAACUACAUCGGCAUCCCCAAUAAAGACCUUUUAAUCAGACUCUUUACAACCAUAGUGUUGUAGUAAUUCUAAAGUUCUAUGGAAAAUAACAAGACUAAUGCAUAAAGUUUCUGUCUACACUUAACUUACAUUCCCAAACUUUUAGGAUUUUGAUAUUUUAUUUUUUAUCUUCCCGUCUUUCUCUGAUUACUUAUAUUGGUGUCCUGUACUUUUUCUAAUCCACUUAAGAGUUUGUCUCAUUACACUUCUUUUUACCUCUCAGAAGGGUGAGAAUUUUCCAAACCUAAGUAACUAUUUUCUUAUGCAACCACGUGGUAUGAUUAUCAGAUGUGGGACAUUUCCCAUUGAUGAAAUUGUUGUAGUAAAUAUUUAAAAUCCUGCCCUGAGGUUUCUACCCUACCUUUUAUGAUUUAUGUUCCUAGAUGAAAGGCACACUCAUGGCCUGUACAAUAAACCCUAAACAGCACAAUAGCUGGGCAGCUGCCUAUCCUCUAUGUUCUUAGAAUCUACUUUCCUAUUGAUAACCUCAAGUUAUUAUUUACUAUCUGCUGUGUUCUAUUUGGGCUACUCUUAACAGCAAUUGGGCAGCUCUCAGGGCCAUGCUCCCUUAACUCGUGGUGAUGCCACCUUCCUCCUCUCCUGCACAUUUUUCUUCUCCUUCUCCUGACCUCAUGCCUAGGAAACGUAAACCCUUCUGCCCAGGAAUUGGCCGUCGACAUCUUUAUUUACCAAUCGGAAUUAACUUGGGGCUUUGGCUAUUCAUACAGACUUUCCAGUUAUCCCAAUGAAGUGAUGUCUAAGUUUUAUGCUCUCCCUCCCAUCCAGGUGCUAAGGUAACACCAUGGGUUGCCCUUAGCUCUCGUGACCAUAUUUUAUCUCUGUUGCUCUAGAACCAUUCUUUUAUCUUUUCUUUGCUUUUCACAGUGAAGCCAAUGGCUUUUCAUUUAGGUCUGCUGAUGUCUCCUAACACAUCUCUGGCCAGAACAAUGCAUAUGGAUGUGUGACCUUCUCAUACGUCCCUGGCAUAAGAUAGCUGUACACCCUUCCUUCAUGAUAGUAAUCCUGUUCACUUGGCCCUAGUUGUCCAUCUUCUUCACUCUGGAGUUUCUGAGUUGCUCUUUGAAAGCAGAAUGCAGCCCACUUGGAGACUUCCUAAACCCAUCCAAGGACCUGCUCUCAUCGCAGUUCUCUUCCCAUCUUGAGUCUAAUCAAGCUGUGCUACAGGGCUUGUGCCACCUUCCACCACCACCCCUGCUCCCCCACACUCUUUCC